UACAGAGGGUGCAAGCGUUGUUCGGAAUUAUUGGGCGUAAAGGGCGCGUAGGCGGUGCGGUAAGUCUGUAGUGAAAUCUCUGGGCUCAACUCAGAGUCUGCUAUAGAAACUGCCGUGCUAGAGUGUGGGAGAGGUGAGUGGAAUCCCCGGUGUAGCGGUGAAAUGCGUAGAUAUCGGGAGGAACACCUGUGGCGAAAGCGGCUCACUGGACCACAACUGACGCUGAGGCGCGAAAGCUAGGGGAGCAAACAGG
rnacentral:rRNA from 1 species